GAUGAACGCUAGCUACAGGCUUAACACAUGCAAGUCGAGGGGCAGCAGGGAUUUAGCUUGCUAAAUCCGCUGGCGACCGGCGCACGGGUGCGUAACGCGUAUCCAACUUUCCCGUUACUCAGGGAUAGCCUUCCGAAAGGGAGAUUAAUACCUGAUGGUGUUUGAGAUUCGCAUGUUCUUCAAACUAAAGAUUUAUCGGUAACGGAUAGGGAUGCGUGACAUUAGAUAGUAGGCGGGGUAACGGCCCACCUAGUCUACGAUGUCUAGGGGUUCUGAGAGGAAGGUCCCCCACACUGGAACUGAGACACGGUCCAG
rnacentral:rRNA from 1 species